AAAUAAUACAUUUCAGCUACUAGGUCGCUCUUUGGUAUGAACGAACCAAACAUUCACCUCUCAAUCAAAUUCUUCAAACAAUACCCUAGCAUUCUCAGCAAAAUUCUCAGUGAAUCGGCCCUCCUCCUCAGCGAAAAUUGCAGCCAAAUCAAAAUUCCUCAAAUCAAAAUAUGAAUUUCAUUUGUCAGGUAUGUUCAAAUCCCUAAUCUUUUUUAUUUUUUGGGAAUAAUUUCAUGGAGGAAGAGUCAAAGAAACUAAGGGGUUUUCUUUCUUGUACCAUUGUGAAAGCUCAAAAGGGAUUUCUUCUACCUUUUUUUUAACGAUUUGUUGUGUUUUCUCGGAGGCAUGUAGGUCAUGCAUUUACAUUAAAGUUGACAAAACAUCUUUAAUAUGGAGCUUAAUUCUUCUUCAUAAAAAAUGAAGCUUUACUUUUACUGUUUUAUAACAACUGUUAUUGCGUUCAAUCUCAAUCUCAAGCAAUAAGUUGGACUCAACUACAUGAAUUUUGUUAUCCUUUUUUAAACUUUCCCAAGAUUUCAGUACCUUGUUGAAGAAAUCCUCGAGAAUGGUUUUUCAGUUGAUUAGAGAAGAAGAUUUGGUUGAGUCAAAUCGAGUCAACAAUUUCUGCUUUUUUUUUUAUACUCAAGUGUGUGACUUGUGAAUUACUCUGUUUAGGCUAGUACCUAAUUGGUUGCAAUUUUCAAUUUGGUACAUUGUUGUGUACAUAGUCAAUAUGGCAUUUCAUAUGUUAGAAGUGAAGCAGUAAAAGGUAAUCAUGUUUGCUUUAUUGUUUCCAAGCUAAAGCAUUCUACAUUUAUAGGAUUACCUGUUAUUUCAUAGAUUAGUUUCAUCAAAAGGUAUUCAUAUUAUUAAUUCAAGUUCCUCAAAAGGAAAAAGGUCUACGCAGGAUCUUAAGAAUGGGGGUCUGGUUCUGAUAUAAAUCUUUCUUUACUUAAAGUUGUGGUUUGAGACAUUGGUAGUUAACUUGCUUGGUGAAGUUGUUGGGUGAACAACUUCUUACUCAAAAUGUUAUUUGGCUAAUUUAGCCAACUCUUAGAUCUGGUCAAAAUAAGAGGAAAAUAGAAUCAGAUGUGUUGCUAUUUUUCUUUGUCAUUCAGGAAAUUUGUUUAAGCGCAGUCUAGGUAAUUCCUAAGUGGAUAUUUGUCUUGAGUUGUAAUUUGCGCUGUAUGAUGUCAAACUAAAUUCAGACCGUGAGAGAUUUGCCGAACCACACAGAAUUGCAUGACACAUUUGUCACAUUGAAUUUUACUUCUUUAAUAAAGCAUGAUAUUAGAGUAGGGAUCUAAACUCUGUUCAGUGUAGGUAGGUAAAAGGAGUGAUGUGAAUGUUCUCUUGCCCUUAAAAAGAAUGUUUCCAUGAGGGGGUCUAGACUUUCACCUUCAUGUUUCUGAGUUCUUCUGGAAUAUUUCAUGGUCAAUACAAGAUUAUGCACUUUAUGUUUCAGUAUGUUUCUUAAUGCACGAUAAAAUUUAGCUUAAAUAUCUCACUUACUCUGUUGUUGAUUACUAGAUAAAGGUUUCAUAGCUGACAAGAUAGCAUAGUGUGAGUUAACAACUUGAGAUAAGAAUUAUUUGUUUUGUAUUCUGGUGAAGGAUAUACUAAUUGUUGGAAGGUACAUUAAUUAAUGAUAAUACUAGAAAGGGAAAUGUGAUCAAUGUUCCUUCGACUAGGUAUAACUGAAUAUGUUUUUGGAUCUUUUGGCUGUAUAGACCAUUUUAUGCUCAAAACUUAAUAUUACUCAUUCCACUAGGCUUACAGUGGAAAUUCAGUGUAUAUCCUGAAUUUCUUGAAAGACAUUAACUUGCCAUAGUUCUGUGUGGUUGAGUUGACCUUUCCUUUUUAUAUGCUUUCCUUUAGUACUUGAUUAAUGAUUAACCCUGUUUUAUAUGUAAGUGUACAUUACUGUUAUUCUUUUUUUUUUAAUAGCAAGGAUAUAGUACUUCAACAAUGGGGAAAUGAAGGUGCUCAGGGAGCAGGUUGAAGACAUUGUAGUAACUUGAAGAUAUUGAAAUAGUUUGAAGGCGUUGUCCUUUGCAUUUUUUCUUAAAGUAGGAGUUCAAACACAUUUGAUGUUCUCUUUUGCAAGUGUAUGUGCAAUGACAAAUGUAUUAUGGAGCAUUAUAUACUUUGUUCCAAACUAUUUGGUAAUGAA
rnacentral:lncRNA from 1 species